AUUGAACGCUGGCGGCAGGCCUAACACAUGCAAGUCGAGCGGAUGAAGGGAGCUUGCUCCUGGAUUCAGCGGCGGACGGGUGAGUAAUGCCUAGGAAACUGCCUGGUAGUGGGGGAUAACGUCCGGAAACGGGCGCUAAUACCGCAUACGUCCUGAGGGAGAAAGUGGGGGAUCUUCGGACCUCACGCUAUCAGAUGAGCCUAGGUCGGAUUAGCUAGUUGGUGGGGUAAAGGCCUACCAAGGCGACGAUCCGUAACUGGUCUGAGAGGAUGAUCAGUCACACUGGAACUGGGACACGGUCCAGACUCCUACGGGAGGCAGCAGUGGGGAAUAUUGGACAAUGGGCGAAAGCCUGAUCCAGCCAUGCCGCGUGUGUGAAGAAGGUCUUUGGAUUGUAAAGCACUUUAAGUUGGGAGGAAGGGCAGUAAGUUAAUACCUUGCUGUUUUGACGGUACCAACAGAAUAAGCACCGGCUAACUUCGUG
rnacentral:rRNA from 1 species